rnacentral:rRNA from 1 species
GAUGAACGCUGGCGGCGUGCCUAAUACAUGCAAGUCGAACGAGGUGCUUUUGUAGCAAUACGAGAGUAUCCUAGUGGCGAACGGGUGAGUAACGCGUUGGUGACCUACCCCAAAGUGUGGGAUAACAGAUCGAAAGAUCUGCUAAUACCGCAUGUGGUCUUCGGAUUUAGAAACUGAUGACUAAAGGAGCAAUUCGCUUUGGGAGGGACCUGCGUCCCAUCAGCUAGUUGGUGAGGUAACGGCCCACCAAGGCGACGACGGGUAGGGGACCUGAGAGGGUGGCCCCCCACAAUGGAACUGAAACACGGUCCAUACACCUACGGGUGGCAGCAGUAGGGAAUAUUGCUCAAUGGGCGAAAGCCUGAAGCAGCAACGCCGCGUGUGCGAUGAAGGCCUUCGGGUCGUAAAGCACUUUUCUGAGGGAUGAGAAAGGACAGUACCUCAGGAAUAAGUCUCGGCUAACUACGUGCCAGCAGCCGCAGUAAGAC